rnacentral:rRNA from 1 species
AAGGAAUAUUGGUCAAUGGACGCAAGUCUGAACCAGCCAUGCCGCGUGAAGGAUGAAGGUCCUCUGGAUUGUAAACUUCUUUAUCUGGGACGAAAACGGGAUUUUUAUCUCAAUUGACGGUACCAGAGGAAUAAGCACCGGCUAACUCCGUGCCAGCAGCCGCGGUAAUACGGAGGGUGCGAGCGUUAUCCGGAUUUACUGGGUUUAAAGGGUGCGUAGGUGGGCUUAUAAGUCAGUGGUGAAAUCUCCGAGCUUAACUUGGAAACUGCCGUUGAUACUAUAGGUCUUGAAUUAUCUGGAGGUAAGCGGAAUAUGUCAUGUAGCGGUGAAAUGCUUAGAUAUGACAUAGAACACCAAUUGCGAAGGCAGCUUACUACAUAUAAAUUGACGCUGAGGCACGAAAGCGUGGGGAUCAAAC